GACGAACGCUGGCGGCGUGCCUAAUACAUGCAAGUAGAACGCUGAAGAGAGGAGCUUGCUCUUCUUGGAUGAGUUGCGAACGGGUGAGUAACGCGUAGGUAACCUGCCUAGUAGCGGGGGAUAACUAUUGGAAACGAUAGCUAAUACCGCAUAACAAUGGAUGACUCAUGUCAUUUAUUUGAAGGGGGCAAAUGCUCCACUACAAGAUGGACCUGCGUUGUAUUAGCUAGUAGGUGAGGUAACGGCUCACCUAGGCGACGAUACAUAGCCGACCUGAGAGGGUGAUCGGCCACACUGGGACUGAGACACGGCCCAGACUCCUACGGGAGGCAGUAGUAGGGAAUCUUCGGCAAUGGGGGCAACCCUGACCGAGCAACGCCGCGUGAGUGAAGAAGGUUUUCGGAUCGUAAAGCUCUGUUGUAAGUCAAGAACGAGUGUGAGAGUGGAAAGUUCACACUGUGACGGUAGCUUACCAGAAAGGGACGGCUAACUACGUGC
rnacentral:rRNA from 1 species